rnacentral:rRNA from 1 species
GACAGAGGAUGCAAGCGUUAUCCGGAUUCACUGGGUUUAAAGGGUGCGUAGGUGGGCAGGUAAGUCAGUGGUGAAAUCUCCGGGCUUAACCCGGAAACUGCCGUUGAUACUAUUUGUCUUGAAUAUUGUGGAGGUAAGCGGAAUAUGUCAUGUAGCGGUGAAAUGCUUAGAUAUGACAUAGAACACCAAUUGCGAAGGCAGCUUACUACACAACGAUUGACGCUGAGGCACGAAAGCGUGGGGAUCAAACAGG